rnacentral:piRNA from 1 species
CCUGUUGAUGGAAAUUAUAAGGUGACUGGGU